GCCGGGGUAGCUCAGACGGUAGAGCAGAGGACUGAAAAUCCUUGUGUCGGCGGUUCAAUUCCGCCCCCCGGCA
rnacentral:tRNA from 2 species